UUGUAGGUAGCUAGCUAACAGCCAUGGAGGAGGGUGAAAGGAUAGCAGCCCCAUCUGUCAAAGUGAGAGAGUAGGCUGUUCUGGAGAGGGCAGGUUCUGUUGUGUAGUUCCAGUCCCUAGAAGUGAGGAGGGAGAUAACAGUAACAUAAUAUUCAGUGCGGUCUAAUUUUAGUAUAGUGAAGUCUGUUUCUGGUGAGGUUUUCUGUCCUCAGGUCCAGAGAGCAGUGAAAGCCUGUCUGCAGAUGAAGAGGUCCCGAUGAAGAGCAGUGGUUCUCUGUUGUGGUCCUGGGGACUCGAAGGGGUUGCACGGUUUUUUUGCCUUAGCACUACACAGCUGGUUCAAAUGAUCAAGCUUCAAGUGGUAUUUAUGUGUUCAUUUGUGAUUCUAUCCUUGAUAUGAUCCUGCUAUUGUCACAUGCACGUGUGUGUGCACAUGCAUCUAUCUAUCUAUCCAAUGUUAUCAUGAUUUGUUAUAAGGGAUAUGAUUCUUUAGUAAUCCACAAUGACCUGGUGAUGUAAAAAGUCUAAUAAUGACAUUAUCUUCCAUAUUCCUGCAGAUACCUUGUAACUGGAGAUUCCUUCAAAACGAUUGCCUUCAGUUACUGUGUAGGGCACUGCAAGGUUGGGUGACCAGGGCCAACUGGGACUGCCUCCUGGGGGAAUUCAGGCCUGUGUGUGAAGGCUUCCUGUGUCCUGCAUAACUAUCAUGAGGAUGGACGCGAGGACCAGGAGGGGACCUGCAGCUCGCCACCGUGUGCCAGAGGAGAGGUCUGCUGCUCUGCAGGAUGUUACCAGGAUGGGGGCCAACAACGCAGCAUGAGAGGCAAUCCGUGUGCGGGAGAUCUUCACCUCCUACUUCUUUGAAGAGGGUGCUGUUCCCUGGCAACACCAUAGACUACACUAUGCACAACCAAAGGCUCUUUUAAGAGCCAUCCACAUUGCAAUAAGAGUAUUCUUCCAUUGACUUUAGCUUCGUUAACUGCAGUUAUUACAUUCCCAGUUUCUCUCCUUUUGAGUUCUACUUCUCAGGUGAGGAUGUCAGUACAAAAUCAAAACAGGCUCUUUUAAGAGUCACCCGUAUUGAAAACAAUUAGACACCCUAUAACCCACACCUACACACUCAAUCUGAUUGAUGGAUUGUGCAGUAAGCAGGCUCAGGUGUAGAACUGUGGCUCCUUCCACCUCCAAAAGGACAGGCCAGAGGACCAACCAUGGAGAAUAGUGAUAUCAGCUGUGUCGGUGAACCCCUCCCGCAUCUGAACUGGCUACACAGAGGGCACAGCAUGAUCAGAGGUAUGUUUUGAUGGGUGCCAAACUCCAGUCCAGUCCAUCUCACCCGCUCUUAAGAUCACCUUCUGGCCAACUGGGGGCCCAAGGCUGUUAGGAGACACCGCUAGAGACACUAUUAUGGAAUUGUGAUGACCUGAGAGAAUAUUAGGGUAGCACUGUAAUUCAUUAAUCAUAUGCUGUCUUUCCUAGUAGCACUGUGAUUCAUUAAUCAUAUGCUGUCUUCCCUGCUCCUCUAUUCUUACCGCUUUCCCUUUCUGUCUUUGACACUCUUUCUCACACCUCUCUCCCCACCUCCUCUUU